GAAGUUUUCUAAAACUUGCUCUUAUGAAGUUAGCGGCGGACGGGUGAGUAACACGUGGGUAACCUGCCCAUAAGACUGGGAUAACUCCGGGAAACCGGGGCUAAUACCGGAUNACAUUUUGAACNGCAUGGUUCGAAAUUGAAAGGCGGCUUCGGCUGUCACUUAUGGAUGGACCCGCGUCGCAUUANCUAGUUGGUGAGGUAACGGCUCACCAAGGCAACGAUGCGUANCCGACCUGAGAGGGUGAUCNGCCACACUGGGACUGANACACGGCCCANACUCCUACGGGAGGCAGCAGUAGGGAAUCUUCCGCAAUGGACGAAAGUCUGACGGAGCAACGCCGCGUGAGUGAUGAAGGCUUUCGGGUCGUAAAACUCUGUUGUUAGGGAAGAACAAGUGCUAGUUGAAUAAGCUGGCACCUUGACGGUACCUAACCAGAAAGCCACGGCUAACUACNUGCCAGCAGCCGCGGUAAUACGUAGGUGGCAAGCGUUAUCCGGAAUUAUUGGGCGUAAAGCGCGCGCAGGUGGUUUCUUAAGUCUGAUGUGAAANCCCACGGCUCANCCGUGGAGGGUCAUUGGAAACUGGGAGACUUGAGUGCAGAAGAGGAAAGUGGAAUUCCAUGUGUAGCGGUGAAAUGNGUAGAGAUAUGGAGGAACACCAGUGGCGAAGGCNACUUUCUGGUCUGUAACUGACACUGAGGCGCGAAAGCGUGGGGAGCAAACAGGAUUAGAUACCCUGGUAGUCCACGCCGUANACGAUGAGUGCUAAGUGUUAGAGGGUUUCCGCCCUUUAGUGCUGAAGUUAACGCAUUAAGCACUCCGCCUGGGGAGUACGGCCGCAAGGCUGAAACUCANAGGAAUUGACGGGGGGCCCGCACAAGCGGUGGAGCAUGUGGGUUUNAUUCGAAGCAACNCGAANAAACCUUACCNAGUCUUGANAUCNU
rnacentral:rRNA from 1 species